AUCGAACGCUGGCGGCAGGCCUAACACAUGCAAGUCGAGCGGAUGAGUGGAGCUUGCUCCAUGAUUCAGCGGCGGACGGGUGAGUAAUGCCUAGGAAUCUGCCUGGUAGUGGGGGACAACGUUUCGAAAGGAACGCUAAUACCGCAUACGUCCUACGGGAGAAAGCAGGGGACCUUCGGGCCUUGCGCUAUCAGAUGAGCCUAGGUCGGAUUAGCUAGUAGGUGAGGUAAUGGCUCACCUAGGCGACGAUCCGUAACUGGUCUGAGAGGAUGAUCAGUCACACUGGAACUGAGACACGGUCCAGACUCCUACGAGAGGCAGCAGUGGGGAAUAUUGGACAAUGGGCGAAAGCCUGAUCCAGCCAUGCCGCGUGUGUGAAGAAGGUCUUCGGAUUGUAAAGCACUUUAAGUUGGGAGGAAGGGCAGUAAGUUAAUACCUUGCUGUUUUGACGUUACCAACAGAAUAAGCACCGGCUAACUUCGUGCCAGCCGCCGCCGUAAUAC
rnacentral:rRNA from 1 species